UUGAAUGAUAUGUGACGUAAGUUCAAGAAAGUGCUGGAAGGAUAGUGAAAGAAUUUUAGAUCCAGCAAACCUUGUUAAGCCACCAUGAAUAGGAGCGUAGUGAGAAGACUAGGUAGGCGCAUUGAAAAGGCAAGCAAGGCGACCCGCGUUUUACACGCAGCGUAGUUUACGGGUCCGCCUAUUCUCUCUGAGCCUGUGGCUCCAACAUCUUUUAAACAGACUCGUCCGCCCCAUUCCCAUCCUUCUGGAUCGGAGGCUCUGCUACGCCGCCGCCGUGGGCCAAGUCCCGGGCACGCGAGGAGCCCACCCUGCACGGCCGGAAGGAGCGGGGCGGGGCCUCCAGGCUCCCAGCUGGGCCUGAACCCGCUCGGGGAAGCCAGUGUGGGGCCGACUGUUUUUUAGGCAAAAGCCAAGGGCGGGCGCGCCAGGCUGCCUCCCCAGGCUCUCCUUACUUGCAAUUCCUUCCGCCUUGCUGAAUUGGGAGUCGCGAUCUCCAGCACAGGAUACUAAAUAAAGUAUAUUUAACAGUGUUCAUCUCCUUUCAUGUAAAAAAGAUCUGCAACGUUUUCACCAGCACGGAGCCCAGUGGAAGGAUGUGCCACAGUUUGUCCUACCUGCAAAGCAGGAUCCAGGACCUGCUGAGGGGAAGAGUCAUUCACUGGGCCCUUCAACAGCCCAACUUCAAAAGCUUACUUCCAUUAACCAUCCAUUGACACCACACAGACUCCAAGCCUCUGAAUUGUGCUUGACAACAACAUGGAGAUGAUUUUGCCUGUACCUGGACCAAUGAGGGGUCGGUCCACGGUCGCGAGGAUACGGAGCAGGAGCCUCUGUACUGGCCAUCUUGAGCGGUUGAGACCAACUGGCAUCUUCCUGAACCUAACCGCACUGAACCGCACCGCAGCACGCCACAGCGCACUGUAGAUCUAGGCGGGUCGGAGACAGUGCACCCCAGAGCCCAUCAUGU